CCAAGGGUCAUGAUUUAUCCAGAUUUACCACAGAUUUAUCAAUCCUGGAAGGCCACGGAAUGGAAGUACCAGGAAAAGAGAAUGACAGCAAGGGGAGAAUGGCUGAUGCUGCCAUGGAAGUGUCAAGACUCACGGCACAAAUUAAGUCCCGGGACUGUGGUGUGAUCAGGGGCUCUUGACAGGGCUCUUCACAUUCUCUCGUAGACUACAGGGAGGUGAUAGACUGGUAAGAGAUAUUGCAUGACAUUGUGAGAUAGGGAGCAUCCCCUUGGUUUUACCACUUUUGUAUGGAACCUGCCAUGCUUCUCUGCAUCCUCUACAGAACACAUGGAGCCC
rnacentral:lncRNA from 11 species